rnacentral:rRNA from 1 species
AUUGAACGCUGGCGGCAGGCCUAACACAUGCAAGUCGAACGGUAACAGGAAACAGCUUGCUGUUUCGCUGACGAGUGGCGGACGGGUGAGUAAUGUCUGGGAAACUGCCUGAUGGAGGGGGAUAACUACUGGAAACGGUAGCUAAUACCGCAUAACGUCGCAAGACCAAAGAGGGGGACCCUCGGGCCUCUUGCCAUCGGAUGUGCCCAGAUGGGAUUAGCUUGUUGGUGGGGUAACGGCUCACCAAGGCGACGAUCCCUAGCUGGUCUGAGAGGACGACCAGCCACACUGGAACUGAGACACGGUCCAGACUCCUACGGGAGGCAGCAGUGGGGAAUAUUGCACAAUGGGCGCAAGCCUGAUGCAGCCAUGCCGCGUGUAUGAAGAAGGCCUUCGGGUUGUAAAGUACUUUCAGCGGGGAGGAAGGGAGUAAAGUUAAUACCUUUGCUCAUUGACGUUACCCGCAGAAGAAGCACCGGCUAACUCCGUG